rnacentral:snoRNA from 1 species
UCUGGCAAUGAUGACACGCUUGCCCUCACUGAGAACACUGUUCGGUAAUGAGCCUCAAAUGAGCUGAGCCAGA